AACGAACGCUGGCGGCAUGCCUAACACAUGCAAGUCGAACGAGCCCUUCGGGUCUAGUGGCGCACGGGUGCGUAACGCGUGGGAAUCUGCCCUUGGGUUCGGAAUAACAGUUGGAAACGACUGCUAAUACCGGAUGAUGACGUAAGUCCAAAGAUUUAUCGCCCAGGGAUGAGCCCGCGUAGGAUUAGCUAGUUGGUGGGGUAAAGGCCUACCAAGGCGACGAUCCUUAGCUGGUCUGAGAGGAUGAUCAGCCACACUGGGACUGAGACGCGGCCCAGACUCCUACGGGAGGCAGCAGUGGGGAAUAGUGGACAAUGGGCGAAAGCCUGAACCAGCAAUGCCGCGUGAGUGAUGAAGGCCUUAGGGUUGUAAAGCUCUUUUACCCGGGAUGAUAAUGACAGUACCGGGAGAAUAAGCCCCGGCUAACUCCGUG
rnacentral:rRNA from 1 species